AGCUGCUGGUGCUGCGGGGGCACCCCAGGAGCACUCAGGCUGUCUGGUUGGCGAAAAUCAAAGAGAAUUACCUCACAACUACCUGAGACUCUCCAGACCCGGGAAAGGGGCAAGCAGAAGCCAUCAGGAGGAGAGGAUUAAGGGCUGCAAAGAUACUGCGCCACCCCCAGCCCAGCUGACCAAAGGUUAGGGGUGGUGAGCCCGGGGCCCCGGCUGCGCUCUGCAAUCCGUGCUCACCCAUGGUAUGCUUCGUGAGGGAUCACCCACCGUACGCGUGCGCCACGCUGUUCUGGGUGUGGGGGAUGGAGUAGGGAACAAGUUUUUGUCGUCAUGAAGCCCCGUCUUGAGGAAAAGCAGAUAAGAAAUAUAAGUAAAAUACAUAGUGGUUAGAG
rnacentral:lncRNA from 1 species